rnacentral:misc_RNA from 1 species
UCAAACUUGGUCAUUUAGAGGAAGUAAAAGUCGUAACAAGGUUUCCGUAGGUGAACCUGCGGAAGGAUCAUCACAGUGAUCGGGGUUGCGCGUGGGAGAGAUCUCGUGCGCCCCCACCAAUCUUUUGUGCACGGUUUCACGGUUGAAUGAGAAGCGUUGUGUGUGUGUUGGUGAGUCCUGGUGGCUUGCCAACCGCAUGCGUGCGCUCUCUCCAAUGCAAUCUCUUGUGUAAUCUCUGUCUAACGUGAUACCACUCUAAUAAUAAUACAACUUUCAACAAUGGAUCUCUUGGCUCUCGCAUCGAUGAAGAACGCAGC